AGAACUCUUCCCGUAUCCCUAACCUUCUGAAGGCCACCACCACACCCGUAGCUUGCCAUGGAUCGCGCCGCCGCCCGACUCCCCACCGUCGCUGUUCCUCCCUGUCUCAUCCGCCGCCACAGCCCACCACAUCCACUCUAUGUCGCAUCCCACUGCUUCCACCGCCACCGUUAACCAUCUCUCGCCUUAGUCCUCUCUCUUGGACCAGCAUGCUGCGGCGGAUGCUUCCAGUCGUGUGGUGGCAACGUAGCUGGUCGCCUAUAAGCUACAACAAUGGUUCCUCCACUCAUCGGACCGCUGAGGCAUGGAUGUACCCGGUGAAGAUCGCGCUCCGCGUAGCAAAUUCGGCCAUGUUCUGAGUGGUUACUCGGCAAGGUAAUUUUCAUCUCUGAAGUUCUCUUAUGGACCGUGUAAUGGAUUUGUGGGUGCUCUAGAUGGAGUGCCACUGGAUUGCCAUGUUAGUGGGCAGAAUCUCCUCUCCUGCACACACGAACUUGGGUUUGGCAAGGAGCUGAGUCAAUACUACUAUCCUUUGGCUUUGCAAUGGUGAUUAGAUAGUUCUGUUUUUUCAAAUCAUGGUGCUUUAGUUAGUUUGUUAACAGGUAGAAGAGCAAUUGAUCAGAAGGCCCAUAAUAUUUUCAUGGAUGUAGAAGAAACCGAAAAGAUCCUUUCAUGGUUGUACAAGGAAGCCCUAAAAUACCUACCUUCACCUUCGCUUCCUCUAAUAUGUACUCUAUCCCUCCCCAAGUUGAAAAACAAAUCCACGUCUCUCUCAAAACCAAGUUGAGGCAUAGAUCCUGUGUAAUCAAGGAGCUUAUUGCGUCAAGAUUAUUUUCUUCCUCUGGAUCAGAUAGUGUUGCGCACUCAAGGGAUUCAAUCUAGAAUCUUCUCACCUACAGUACAACCUAUGGAUGCCCGAGAUCGGUCGGGUCAUAACUAUGCUCCUCAGGUGAGUUUAUAAAUUAAGAAACAUGUUGUCUAAACAAACAUAAACAUGAAGGAGCCUAAUGUCAGUUGUCAACAUGCCGCUGUUUAAGCCACUCCUAAAUCAAUUUUCGUAUGGGCAAAACAUGCCAGGAACCCUAGAUGGCAAGAUUAAUAUCUUUUCUUGAUUUCUUUUGUUGCUGCUCUGCCACAAUCUCCUGAUUAAGGAAGUACCUUGCCAAGCUGGCGUGUCCUGGCCGUUGUAGGUAAGAGAAUUGACUUUUGAUGAACUUUCUUCUGCUUAUCCUCUUUUAGUUAGAUAGUUAUAUUGUGAAACACUUGACAAAGAAGCUCUCUGUCAACUAUUAGAGUAUUGACGGUUUCUGUCGUAAAUCUGAAUGUUUUUGCGGGCAAUUGUUCUGUAAAAGCAAUGGCACAUGACAACUACUAAAGCAUUGAGUGUCAUUGCUGUUGCACUUUCUAUAAGUAUGGGGAUUGAUUUUCUGUCAAUUCUGCGUUACAACUUACGACUGACAACUACUAAAUUUCAAUGCCCUUUUUGACAAUUUUAGGUUAAAUAGAAUGGCGUGUGAAAUAAUUGGUGCUAUCAAUUAGGAGUAAUCAUGUCAUUGUUGGGUAAUGUAGCAGUUAUGCUCUGCAUUGAUAUUAAAGUCAACACAAAGGAACUCUCACAUAUGUUUGCUUUGUCUCCAACUGGGAAAUAAUGUGUGCGUACAUACCCACUUAAAUGUUACCCGCACUCCGUACUUGGCUCCGGUGAUACAGUUUAACGGCAAGACACACUUAUCUAACAAAGUGCUCACAACUUCCUAGCAAAUGCUGCUCAUUGAGUGCCUCCUCCAUUCAAUGAGGAAAAGUUGACUGCUUGAGAAAAAGAAGCUGUGAGUUCCCCACAUCUACUGAACAUCGUUUUGGUUACUUCGUUUCUCUUCUUGCAGUUUUUGCAUGGGCUGCAGAUGUGAUGCUUUGUAUGGGAACAAUACUGAUAUGAUUUGGGUUUGCUGCAUGUACAUUCGACUUAGUUGUACUCCGGAAUGUUUAAGAAAGUAAUUCGCAACAACGUGGAUGUCAGAUUUAUCAAGUACUGUCACUCUUGGUUUUGAAGGAUUUGAUUAUGGGAGUUUUAGUAUGCCGUGACCAAGUACAAUAGAUGUAAACACAAUUGUCGCUUCCUUAUUUGUAUGUGAUUCAGAUAUUUUAAAACCUUAUCUGUACCAUUGAAUUAUGUUUUUUUUCUGUGGGGAGUACCAUUGAAUUAUGUUGUUAUGUAGGUUGCCCGAUAUGUUCAUCGAUGCUGUGGACAACGAUUUUUAUUAUCGUUUCCCAUAUUUAUCUAAUUAGGUUUGCAAUUACACUUUGUUUUAUUUAUCAUCUGUAUCUAGAAAAUCAGAUUGUGAAGCUUAUAAUUUAUUAGUUUUUCUGUGAUUUCCCUUUAUUUUGCUGAUAGUCCACUACUCAGGAUUAUAAGAGCCACCAUCUUUGUGAGCAUUUUUCCUUCAAGUGUUCCAAGGUAUUAGUAUGGUUCUAUAGAGAAAGCUGCACAACAUGCCUAAUUUUGUACUUACCUUGCAGUUCUGUAGAUCUACUACAAUUAUAUGAUGUCAUCAAAUCAGACCUUUGCAAGCAUCACAAGAUAUCAGUAUAUAUAUGUAGCGCACCUUUGGUUCGAUCAUACAUUCAUAGUAGUUUGAUGUACUAUGUUUUGGUUGGCAGAGAGGAUUCUGAUGGUGACGCAUGAUUCAUUGUAUUUUGUUUUGUAUUCAGGCCGAUGAAAUUGCUGGACUAGAAAAAAAAUUGUGUGUGUAUAAGUCAUCCAGCUCCGAGAGCGCGCGGAGCGAUGCUUGGGCAACUCUUAGAAAAUGGGUUGUGGGCCGCUCCGCUCCGGCGCGGUGCUGCGGAGCGGAGAACUACCGAACAGCGCCUUUGCGUUAGGAUUAAGAGCAUGAUAAUUGCAAGGAUUUUCAGUUUUGAAAGGCAGAUGAAAUUGUUGGACUGAAAAGAAAUCAGUGUGUAUGUAUGGUAGUUCUCAUUGCAAUGUCCACUUUACUCUACCGAAGGUGUUGUUGUUAAUAAUAAUUUUUGUAUUGUAAUAACUUGUGGUUGGACACUUGAGCUCCGUUAGUAAGUCCUUACUAUGAAAUAUAUUCACUAAUGUACUAACUGCAAAAUUAAUGUGUACGCAGUUACAUGGUUCAUUAUUUAUUUAUUACAAAUAUAUGGUAGUUUACAUGCAAGUCUAGCAAUAUUUUGGAAAUACUUUCUAUUUCAGUGAUGACACUUGAGUUUUGCCACAAAAUAAGAAGUGCCAGGAUACGGCUUACUACAGAAACUAAAUUUCUAUAAAAUUCACUGCUGCUCUUUUGAUAUUUUUUUCCGCCAAACAAAUGUUUGAAUUUUAGUACUUUAUCAUCUCAUCAACUUUAUAGAUGUAUUAAGUAAAGUCACGUGCAUUUGUUAGGUUCUCAGUUGGCUUUUCUUGAUUAUAGGUAGUGUGCAAUAUUUUACUACCCCCAACUUCAAAAAGAGGCU